rnacentral:misc_RNA from 1 species
CAACGGUAAUUGCAAGCAUCCUAUUCUUCAGGGAAGGCUCCAUUUUGCAAAGUUUGAGACAAGCAAAAUCAAUGAUUGCUUGGAGUUCAUUAGUUCCAAGAAACUUCACCUUGGUGGUUUCCAGCAUCAUGAAAAUCCUGGGAAGAACAAGAACUUCAUUAAGGCCACAGGUGGUGGGGCAUACAAAUUUACUGAACUUUUCAAAGAAAACCUUGGGAUUGAUCUUGACAAGGAAGAUGA